GACGAACGCUGGCGGCGUGCCUAAUACAUGCAAGUCGAACGCAGUGGGGACGGGUGAGUAACACGUGGGUAACCUCCCAUCAGAGGGGAUAACACUUGGAAACAGGUGCUAAACCGAUACUGAUGGAUGGACCCGCGGUGCAUUAGCUAGUAGGUGGGGUAACGGCUCACCUAGGCGACGAUCUCUAGCUGGUCUGUGAGGAGGAUCAGCCACACUGGGACUGAGACACGGCCCAGACUCCUACGGGAGGCAGCAGAAGGGAAUCUUCGUCAAUGGACGAAAGUCUGACCGAGCAACGCCGCGGGAGUGAAGAAGGUUUUCGGAUCGUAAAACUCUGUUGUUAGAGAAGCGGUAUCUAACCAGAAAGCCACGGCUAACUACGUGCCAGCCGCCGCGGUAAUAC
rnacentral:rRNA from 1 species